rnacentral:rRNA from 1 species
GACGAACGCUGGCGGCGUGCCUAAUACAUGCAAGUAGAACGCUGAAGGAGGAGCUUGCUUCUCUGGAUGAGUUGCGAACGGGUGAGUAACGCGUAGGUAACCUGCCUGGUAGCGGGGGAUAACUAUUGGAAACGAUAGCUAAUACCGCAUAAUAGUAGAUGUUGCAUGACAUUUGCUUAAAAGGUGCAAUUGCAUCACUACCAUAUGGACCUGCGUUGUAUUAGCUAGUUGGUGGGGUAACGGCUCACCAAGGCGACGCUACAUAGCCGACCUGAGAGGGUGAUCGGCCACACUGGGACUGAGACACGGCCCAGACUCCUACGGGAGGCAGCAGUAGGGAAUCUUCGGCAAUGGACGGAAGUCUGACCGAGCAACGCCGCGUGAGUGAAGAAGGGUUUCGGAUCGGAAAGCUCUGUUGUAAGAGAAGAACGAGUGUGAGAGUGGAAAGUUCACACUGUGACGGUAUCUUACCAGAAAGGGACGGCUAACUACGUG